GACGAACGCUGGCGGCGUGCUUAACACAUGCAAGUCGAGCGGUAAGGCCCUUUCGGGGGUACACGAGCGGCGAACGGGUGAGUAACACGUGGGUGACCUGCCCUCAGCUCUGGGAUAAGCCUGGGAAACCGGGUCUAAUACUGGAUAUGACUCCAUGACGCAUGUUGUGGGGUGGAAAGCCUUGUGCGGCUGAGGAUGGGCCCGCGGCCUAUCAGCUUGUUGGUGGGGUGAGGCCUACCAAGGCGACGACGGGUAGCCGGCCUGAGAGGGCGACCGGCCACACUGGGACUGAGACACGGCCCAGACUCCUACGGGAGGCAGCAGUGGGAAUCUUGCGCAAU
rnacentral:rRNA from 1 species